rnacentral:rRNA from 1 species
GACGAACGCUGGCGGCGUGCUUAACGCAUGCAAGUCGAACGAAGAGCGAUGGACGCUUGCUUCUAUCAAUCUUAGUGGCGAACGGGUGAGUAACGCGUAAUCAACCUGCCCUUCAGAGGGGGACAACAGUUGGAAACGACUGCUAAUACCGCAUACGAUCUAAUCUCGGCAUCGAGGAUAGAUGAAAGGUGGCCUCUACAUGUAAGCUAUCACUGAAGGAGGGGAUUGCGUCUGAUUAGCUAGUUGGAGGGGUAACGGCCCACCAAGGCGAUGAUCAGUAGCCGGUCUGAGAGGAUGAACGGCCACAUUGGGACUGAGACACGGCCCAGACUCCUACGGGAGGCAGCAGUGGGGAAUCUUCCGCAAUGGACGAAAGUCUGACGGAGCAACGCCGCGUGAGCGAUGACGGCCUUCGGGUUGUAAAGCUCUGUUAAUCGGGACGAAAGGCCUUCUUGCGAAUAGUGAGAAGGAUUGACGGUACCGGAAUAGAAAGCCACGGCUAACUACGUG